AAAAGAUGGUUCUGCUAUCACUCUUGGAUGGACCUGCGGUGCAUUAGCUAGUUGGUAAGGUAACGGCUUACCAAGGCAAUGAUGCAUAGCCGAGUUGAGAGACUGAUCGGCCACAUUGGGACUGAGACACGGCCCAAACUCCUACGGGAGGCAGCAGUAGGGAAUCUUCCACAAUGGACGCAAGUCUGAUGGAGCAACGCCGCGUGAGUGAAGAAGGGUUUCGGCUCGUAAAGCUCUGUUGGUAGUGAAGAAAGAUAGAGGUAGUAACUGGCCUUUAUUUGACGGUAAUUACCUAGAAAGUCACGGCUAACUACGUGCCAGCAGCCGCGGUAAUACGUAGGUGGCAAGCGUUGUCCGGAUUUAUUGGGCGUAAAGCGAGUGCAGGCGGUUCAAUAAGUCUGAUGUGAAAGCCUUCGGCUCAACCGGAGAAUUGCAUCAGAAACUGUUGAACUUGAGUGCAGAAGAGGAGAGUGGAACUCCAUGUGUAGCGGUGGAAUGCGUAGGUAUAUGGAAGAACACCAGUGGCGAAGGCGGCUCUCUGGUCUGCAACUGACGCUGAGGCUCGAAAGCAUGGGUAGCGAACAGGAUUAGAUACCCUGGUAGUCCAUGCCGUAAACGAUGAGUGCUAAGUGUUGGGAGGUUUCCGCCUCUCA
rnacentral:rRNA from 1 species